rnacentral:ncRNA from 1 species
GGGAAAACUAUAGACAGCAGGACGGUGGCCGUAGGAGCCGGUACCCGAUAAGGAGUGUGUAACAACUCACCUGCCGAAUCAACUAGCCCUGAAAAUGGAUGGAGCUUGA